AAUUAAUCUAAUUUUUUAUGUAGCUCAAUUUUUUACUGUUUGGACUUUGGAGUGUUUGGUUGAUGCAUUCAGAACUUUCACAGCCAACGUUCGUCCGCGCAACACGGGAAGCCUGAGUCCAAAAGACCGAAAUCGAGGAUACGUCAUGCUCAUCAUCGGAAAGCGGAACCCAAACAAAAGUAAACAAACAAAGUCGAAAUGUCAAAUGUUUUACGAAGUCGUAGUUCUAUUAUAUCUAUAAUCUAUGGUCGUAGUUUUGCAAAAUUUAUUCCUUCUUUUGUUGAAGAAAGCUUAUUUAGCGAGAGAAAAACAACUAGGGGCGUUGAAGAAUUUUUAAACAGCUUUAAUCCGCCAUGGGUAUCGGAAAAACAAUUGAUACAACGUGGUAAAACAAUGGUCUUUGGCACUUGCUAAAAAUACAGA